CCCUUACUUUGUUUAGAGUUCAGUUCUAUUGCAGAGACACACAGACAAAAUUUAAAAUCCCAACAAAGCGGAGCAGGAGGAACGUGAGCAGAAGAUGGAGGCUCACGUCACUGAGCCUGGAGACCUUCAUCCCUCUGGUGUUUCUAUCUGCUCAUCACUUCACAUGUGAACCUUUAGUUCUGUGUGAAGGUUGUGACGUCCAGUCUGCUCCACAGGAAGUGACGCUGUCUUCUGUCCUCUCUUUCAGACAAUCACACUCUACUGAUUGGUGUAGGUGUUGCUGUUGGCUUUGCUGUUGGUGGGAUUGUUGUCGGUCUUGUUGUUUACUUUGCGCUAACAAAGAAAACACACUCAGCAGUUAGAACUAAUCCAGGGUAAAGUUCCCAAAGCGAAUGAAAAGCUUCAGAGUGACGACCACACAACGCUGUUUAUUUAAAGAUGAUGAUGUCAUCAUGACCUCACUUCCACCACGUGACGACACAUGAUUGGUUCUUGUAAAUAAGCUGAUUUUUCAAUAUAUGUAUAAAAGCUUCAGGUUGUAUCUAUCGUCCAAUAGGAAGCAGAGACUGUUGAAUGAUGCAUGAAGUCAUUUUCUGACCUUUUCUUCAGAAAGUGAAAUGAAACUGUGACAUCACAUCCUGAACACGUAUUUUGAAGGAGACACAGGAUGUUCCUCUCUGUUUCAUGAUCUCUCUGCUUGUGGUUCUUCUCUCAGCUGAACUUUGACUCAACCACACGUCACUGAUCUCAGACCUGCUGCUCUGCUCUCAAUCAAUGUGAAUGUUCUGCAGCUAAAGUGAAAAUGUGAUGAGUCAGUGUUUAUUGGUGAAGGUGCUGAGUCGGGUCCAGUUCCAGUCACAGCUGCUUCCUGUUGUCACUGUGAUGUUUGACCCGUCGCUGUCUGACUCUGACUUUGUCUUCAUGUUGUUACCUGAUGAUUCUGAGGAUUUCAGGCUGCUUCAUUAUUUCUGUUCAACACUUUGAAUAAAACGUGACAAACAUCAAA